AACGCACUUUGCACCAAUCGAAAGAUUGGUAUGUUUGUUUGAGUACUUCUUACACCUGCCUCAGAAACUUGUUUUUGAGAAUUUGGGCUUAACAGUAAUUUUAAUUGCUGUAGACCUUAAAUAUUAGUAAGGGUCUAUUUCCAGGUAUCAGAGAGUUCGCUCUGUGGUAUCUCGUUAUUAACUUCUGAAUGAUGGCUAGUUAUUUUGACUGACUAAUUGUAAUGUGUUUAAGCUUUUUAUCAUUGUUUUGAUAUUGAAUGCCCCGGGCUCUGCUCAAGGUAGUUAGUAUUUUGAUGGUGGUAGAGGGUAGAGAUGCUUUAUAAUUGGAAGGAAUUGAUAGCUAGUUUGAGUUCUAGCUUCCUUCAUAAGUACUCAAAUCAAGCAAGGCUACCCGCUGAAUUUAA
rnacentral:misc_RNA from 1 species